rnacentral:rRNA from 1 species
CCCCUACGGGGGGCAGCAGUGGGGAAUAUUGCACAAUGGGGGAAACCCUGAUGCAGCGACGCCGCGUGAGGGAAGACGGUCUUCGGAUUGUAAACCUCUUUCAGCAGGGAAGACAAAAGGACGGUACCUGCAGAAGAAGCCACGGCUAACUACGUGCCAGCAGCCGCGGUAAUACGUAGGUGGCAAGCGUUAUCCGGAAUUACUGGGUGUAAAGGGUGUGUAGGCGGGGCUGCAAGUCCGAUGUGAAAAUUAUUGGCUCAACCCAUAAACU